CGAUGCAAACCGGAGAACCUUACCAGGGCUUGACAUAUACAGGAAUGUUGUAGAGAUACAGCAGCCGCUUGCGGUCUGUAUACAGGUGCUGCAUGGCUGUCGUCAGCUCGUGCUGUGAAGUGUUGGGUUAAGUCCCGCACGAGCGCAACCCCUAUCAUCUGUUGCCAGCAUUUAAGGUGGGGACUCAGAUGAGACUGCCGGUGACAAACCGGAGGAAGGUGGGGACGACGUCAAGUCAUCAUGGCCCUUAUGUCCUGGGCUACACACGUGCUACAAUGGCCGGUACAGAGUGAAGCGAAACCGCGAGGUGAAGCAAAACGCAGAAAGCCGGUCUCAGUACGGAUUGGAGUCUGAAACUCGACUUCAUGAAGUUGGAAUCGCUAGUAAUCGCGCAUCAGCAUGGCGCGGUGAAUACGUUCCCGGGCCUU
rnacentral:rRNA from 1 species